UGGCUCAGUUGGUAGAGCAUGGUGUUUGCAACGCCAUGGUUGUGGGUUCGACUCCCAC
rnacentral:tRNA from 1 species